GGAAACCUGAAAUGUUCGAUACUCUUGUAGUUUUGAACCUACAAUACUUUAAACGGGAGUCUUACAUCUCUGUAAUAUGUCAGGCCAUCGAUUUUGCAGUGGAAGGCAGAAAAGCAGAUGCGGAUACCCACCUAGCGGGUGCUAGGAGUCAGAAUACAGGAACCGGCAUUUUGGGGAAUAU
rnacentral:other from 1 species